UUCGGAUUCAUUGGGCGUAAAGGGUGCGUAGGCGGUCUGCUAAGUUUGAUGUGAAAUCCCGGGGCUCAACCCUGGAAUUGCAUUGAAUACUGGUGGACUAGAGUACUGGAGAGGAAACUGGAAUUUACGGUGUAGCAGUGAAAUGCGUAGAGAUCGUAAGGAAGACCAGUGGCGAAGGCGAGUUUCUGGACAGUAACUGACGCUGAGGCACGAAGGCCAGGGGAGCAAACGGG
rnacentral:rRNA from 1 species